rnacentral:rRNA from 1 species
AGUGAACGCUGGCGGUAGGCCUAACACAUGCAAGUCGAACGGCAGCACAGUAAGAGCUUGCUCUUACGGGUGGCGAGUGGCGGACGGGUGAGGAAUACAUCGGAAUCUACUUUUUCGGGGGGGAUAACGUAGGGAAACUUACGCUAAUACCGCAUACGCCCUACGGGUGAAAGCAGGGGAUCUUCGGACCUUGCGCGAUUGAAUGAGCCGAUGUCGGAUUAGCUAGUUGGCGGGGUAAAGGCCCACCAAGGCGACGAUCCGUAGCUGGCCUGAGAGGAUGAUCAGCCACACUGGAACUUGGACACGGUCCAGACUCCUACGGGAGGCAGCAGUGGGGAAUAUUGGACAAUGGGCGCAAGCCUGAUCCAGCCAGACCGCGUGGGUGAAGAAGGCCUUCGGGUUGUAAAGCCCUUUUGUUGGGAAAGAAAAGCAGCAGGUUAAUACCCCGCUGUUCUGACGGUACCCAAAGAAUAAGCACCGGCUAACUUCGUG